rnacentral:rRNA from 1 species
CCUACGGGUGGCAGCAGUAGGGAAUAUUGCUCAAUGGGGGAAACCCUGAAGCAGCAACGCCGCGUGGAGGAUGAAGGUUUUCGGAUUGUAAACUCCUUUUGUUAGAGAAGAUAAUGACGGUAUCUAACGAAUCAGCACCGGCUAACUCCGGGCCAGCAGCCGCGGUCAUACGGAGGGUGCAAGCGUUACUCGGAAUCACUGGGCGUAAAGAGCGCGUAGGCGGGAUAGCAAGUCAGGUGUGAAAUCCUAUGGCUUAACCAUAGAACUGCAUGUGAAACUGUUAGUCUAGAGUAUGGGAGAGGUAGGUGGAAUGCGUGGUGUAGGGGUGAAAUGCGUAGAUAUCAAGAGGAAUACUCAUUGCGAAGGCGACCUGCUAGAACAUAACUGACGCUGAUGCGCGAAAGCGUGGGGAGCAAACAGGAUUAGAUACCCGAGUAGUC